ensembl:lncRNA
CACUCGGCCCUCCGUGGAACCGGUUUGACACCUGUGGUCUAUGGUGCAGGACAUCCUGGGUUGCAUCCAUCCGAUUCAGGAGGUAGAUGGACCAGGAUAAGAAGCAUGAAGAACAGGUUCCACACUAACUGUUGAUCAGCCUGUAGCUGGUCUACAGGCACUGUUGGAGGUGUGACAGGCAAUAAUGUCCAGCAAGCUCUGACGUUGCAGACUACCAAAGGACAGACAAGGCCCAUUGCAACAAUUCUGGGACUGAUGUUAACAAAACAAGAUCUCUGCUCACAUCACCCUGUAAUUGGGGGAAACUGGAGAGUAGGCUGGCUUUUAGAGUUCUUUGCUAGUUAAAAUUCUCCAGGUAACAUCUUAAAUACUACUGUAAGUUGCUCUGUAAAAUACUGUCUGAUAAAUUACUCAAAUAUAAAAAUGUGUACAGACUGAUGGUGGGUGGGACAAUGAAUGCCAAAUAAAAAGGGCC